UAUAAGAGUACUUCUACGUCUCCUCUGCCAGUCGUAUUAGACGACCAAUGAGUUUGCGUUAGGUCAACUGCGGGCGUAAAAUUUUGUCAAAAAUUAUGAGAAGUCCUAAACAAAUUUAGGCGGAUUGUCCCAUCUCGAAUGUACGUGGGGACAACAAGUGAGAGGAAAUAAAAUAGUUAGAAAUGGAAAAGACUUGACAAAUGAAGCGUUUGAUACCAGUCAGACAACUUGUGCGGUAGUUGUGUUCACUAGUCAUGUGUACAGGUCCAUUCAACGCUUGUAGUGUCAACGGUGUAGGGACAUCAUCGCCCAGCUCUAGGCCAGACUCGUGUAUAAAGGAGAAAGAUAGAUACAAAAAUACAAUAUUUUAGGACACUAGCAGAGACUUUUGAAGUUGAGUCAAAUCAAUUAUAAAGAGAUACAAAAUAUCUGAAGAAACUUUGGUCAGAAGAUGAUUAAACAGAAAUUUUUUUAUUAGAAUUUGUAUUUACUACGUUUUCCAUGAAAAAACAAAAAAUGAAUU